CACUUUGAGUGGUUUUAGUUGUCAGUUACACGACGAAAAAAAAAACAAAAAAAAAUGUGGGGAAAAAUGUGGAGGAGCAUGUCUAUGAAAAUUCCUUUUGCAUAAAAUAUGUGGCCAGGCAGACAGUCACUUGAAGAGAGAACAGGGGACACUCUGAGCUCUCUCUCUGGCAUUGGUGGGAGGUUUUCCCCUUCUGAUUUGUGAAAUGUUUUGAUGGCAUUUGGAAGGAUUUUCGUUAUAUUUGGGACUCAGUUUGGAGAGCACUACACAGACAUUACGAAUAAAUGAAGCAUGAUGUAUCAUAACUUGUACUUAUGGAGGGAAACAUUUGUGGAUGCUAUUAACACUUAAAUAUUAUGUUAUUUUGUUGGCUCUGGGCUUGUAAGACAUCGGAAAACAAUAAGUCUGCAGUGUACUAAUCCGAAUGUCACUAUAAAUCUUGUGUAAUGUCCACCAAAUCUGUGAUGCAUUGCAGUCUUUCACGCCAUCGCUUUAACACUUGAUCCUUGGAUAUUCCCCUGUCCGCAAGGCGACGUGUCGUUAUCAGAUGGCCCAUUCAGAUGCUGGGCCAUGGCUGAGAUGUCAGCCAUAAAAGAGAGUAUGCUUCGCUGUAUGCUAUGCCUGCACAUAUUGGAUAUCCAAUUUGUUUUAAUGCUGACACUAGCCACACGCUCUCUUAAGCUGACUAAAACUCAAUUAAAGACUUGGCACUUUAAGCUCUUUAGAGGGAACCUCCGCACCGAGAGAUACUAUAUCUAACCAAGAGGAUGGACCUCCCCACUCGACUCUACGAUAUUUCACUCUUCAGUGCCGCCUGUGUCCCAUACACAAAUGCAAUUAAUUUAUGCUGACCAAGCGUUGGUCCUUCAGCGUCCUUAGUCCUCUGUGGAGCAGGACAUGGACAGGAAAAGUUACGGAUAAACUGAGGGAAAUUGAGAGAGAGAGAGAGGAGGAACACAUAGAACGGGAGAACGACCGGAGACUAUAGGGUCCGGCGGUACGCCUACAUUAAUCACAAGAAGGAUUCACCAGUGCAUCAAUAAAAAUGUGCGACAAAAGCCAUUAAAAGACAACUACUCGUACAUUCAGGCUGAGAGAGCAUACGAAAGCAUCAUGAGAGCACACACACACGAGUGUGUGAGGGAAAAGUGAGGGGGAAAACUGACCAAACCGUAGCGCUCCUCUUAACCCAUAAAGCGGGACAUCAAUUCGCCCGACUGCUUUAAUGGCACUCAUGUGAAAAAUUUACUCUAGUGCAGAAUGACAAAAACAAAAAAUUAAAAACGAUUUUCGACGCCUGUUAAAUAUUUAAUAUCAA